rnacentral:tRNA from 1 species
ACCUGGCUAGCUCAGUCAGUAGAGCAUGUGACUCUCGAUCUCGGGGUUGUGAGUUCAAGCCCCACGUUGGGCA